rnacentral:rRNA from 1 species
GAGCGGCAGCGCGGGGGCAACCCUGGCGGCGAGCGGCGAACGGGUGAGUAACACAUCGGAACGUACCCUGUCGUGGGGGAUAACGAAUCGAAAGAUUCGCUAAUACCGCAUACGACCUGAGGGUGAAAGCGGGGGAUCGCAAGACCUCGCGCGAGAGGAGCGGCCGAUGUCGGAUUAGCUAGUUGGUGAGGUAAAGGCUCACCAAGGCGACGAUCCGUAGCGGGUCUGAGAGGACGGCCCGCCACACUGGGACUGAGACACGGCCCAGACUCCUACGGGAGGCAGCAGUGGGGAAUUUUGGACAAUGGGGGCAACCCUGAUCCAGCCAUUCCGCGUGAGUGAAGAAGGCCUUCGGGUUGUAAAGCUCUUUCGGCAGGAACGAAACGGUGGAGGCUAAUAUCCUUCAUCAAUGACGGUACCUGAAGAAGAAGCACCGGCUAACUACGUGCCAGCAGCCGCGGUAAUACGUAGGGUGCGAGCGUUAAUCGGAAUUACUGGGCGUAAAGCGUGCGCAGGCGGUUUUGUAAGACAGAUGUGAAAUCCCCGGGCUUAACCUGGGAACUGCGUUUGUGACUGCAAGACUUGAGUGCGGCAGAGGGGGGUGGAAUUCCACGUGUAGCAGUGAAAUGCGUAGAGAUGUGGAGGAACACCGAUGGCGAAGGCAGCCCCCUGGGUCGACACUGACGCUCAUGCACGAAAGCGUGGGUAGCAAACAGGAUUAGAUACCCUGGUAGUCC